AAUGUUGACAGUACCACAGGCUCCCGGAGAGCAAACCUUCCAGUCCCUCUGUGUUUCCUGCCACUGCUCUGUACCUGGAUCGCUGCUUGGUGCACAGGCAGCAUGCGCUGUCUUCAGGACCUGCUUCCUCAGGAGAGUUUAUCCUGGGUUAACCUUACCCAGGUUGUCUCCCUUGGAAGCCCUUGAAGGUAUAGACACUGGUGACUCAGGCUUUGGAACUCUCCCAAGAGAGUGAAUCUUCUGAGCUUCAGAACUUCUGGGCUUGGGGGUGUGGCUCAGCAGGUGAAGGUGCUCACAGCAUCCAAGUCGACCCACGUGACGGAAGGUGUGCAAACUUCUCAGAAGAUUGUCCUUUGGCCUCCACAGCCACAGUGGGAUGUGUGCACACCAUACACAUACACAAAACAAAUAAAUGGAAAUUAAAAGUA
ensembl:lincRNA Gm11431 predicted gene 11431